rnacentral:pre_miRNA from 1 species
AGCGUGGAGAGGUUAGCUUCUUGUUUUUUGUUUCCAGUAGCUCGCCUCUCCACGAUGC